GACGAACGCUGGCGGCGUGCUUAACACAUGCAAGUCGAACGGAAAGGCCCUGCUUUUGUGGGGUGCUCGAGUGGCGAACGGGUGAGUAACACGUGAGUAACCUGCCCUUGACUUUGGGAUAACUUCAGGAAACUGGGGCUAAUACCGGAUAGGAGCUCCUGCUGCAUGGUGGGGGUUGGAAAGUUUCGGCGGUUGGGGAUGGACUCGCGGCUUAUCAGCUUGUUGGUGGGGUAGUGGCUUACCAAGGCUUUGACGGGUAGCCGGCCUGAGAGGGUGACCGGCCACCUUGGGACUGAGGUACGGCCCAGUCUCCUACGGUAGACAGCAGUGGGGAAUAUUGCACAAUGGGCGGAAGCCUGAUGCAGCAGCGCCGCGUGCGGGAUGACGGCCUUCGGGUUAUAAACCGCUUUCGCCUGUGACGAAGCGUGAGUGACGGUACUAGGUAAAGAAGCACCGGCUAACUACGUG
rnacentral:rRNA from 1 species